rnacentral:rRNA from 1 species
UACAGAGGGUGCAAGCGUUAAUCGGAAUUACUGGGCGUAAAGCGUGCGCAGACGGUUGCGUAAGUCAGAUGUGAAAGCCCCGGGCUCAACCUGGGAAUUGCAUUUGAGACUGCGUAGCUAGGGUGCGGAAGAGGGAAGCGGAAUUUCCGGUGUAGCGGUGAAAUGCGUAGAGAUCCGGAAGAACACCGGUGGCGAAGGCGGCCUGCUGGGCAGUUGCUGACACUGAGGCGCGACAGCGUGGGGGAGCAAACAGG